AUGGGGCGGCGCCAAGGAGGGAACGGGUGGGGCGUCUGCGCCGCCCUCGCCGUCGCCUCGGUCGUCUCCGCUGUCGUCAUCCUUGGAGGUGCAGGUCAUCAGCAAUCUCAUGCACCUGCCUUUGGUCGUAAAGUUCUUCUAUCCAUAACAAGUGGCCAUCCACAAAUCAACUUGGAUAAUAUACUUCACCCAUCACAACUACAAGUUCCAACAUUGCAAAGCUUAGGGCUAACUGUAAAAUUAUCAGCACCAACUAGUACAGAUGUUAACAAACAGUAUGAUCAUUACGCACCGAGCCCAACAAUCAAACAUGAAGAUGAAACUGUGUCAGCAUCCAAGCAGGCAGUGCUGCCUACAAUGCAACCUAGUGUUUCACCUGAUCAUUUUUAUCAGUCACCAGAAAUAUCUCCAUCUAUACAGAGUCCAGGCCAACCUGCCCCUCCUUCACUAAUGGUUUCUCCAGCUACUCAAAGAGGUAAUCAUCAUCUUCAAGAACAAAUGUCUGCUGCUUCGCCAUCUCUUCCAGUUGAACCACAUGUGUCUCAUGCUAAAAUUGCUGUGAACACUCCGGCUGCCGCACCUUUUCUACCACAGCCACCCUGGUCAUCUCAACCGCCUCCAUCUUCACCUUCCACUGGCAGUCAAUCAACACAGCCAGCUCCUUUACACCGUAUAUAUGGCCAUUCUCCUUCUUCAUUCCAUACUCCUCCAACAGGCCAGGACACACUUAGAGUACCAGUUGCUUCACCUUCAGAAGAACUACCCAGCAAUAAAAAGCCACCACAGGAAGUAGUACCACCGGCGCCCAUUGCUCCUGGAUCCAGUCAGGACAAGGAUGGCAUAUCAUUUGCUAGACCUCCAAAUAAUUUGCCAAUUCACAGCAGCUCACCACCAAAAGGCACAAGGGAGACUAAUCAUUUAACUCCUGCCGUUCCACCUUUGAUACACCGGGCCAUUCAAACCCCCCCACAACAGAGGCAACAUCCUCAUUCAAAUGGACCAGUUGCUUCUCCAAGAACAACAAUCCAUCCUGCCAACCAUGGGAAGGCCAAUCGCGUUCCAGUUGCAUCACCUUUAAAAGGAAGACAUCACCAUUCCAUACCUGUAAAUAAUACACAUGGGAUCAGUGGGGCUCCAGUUGUGGCACCGUCAAAGGGAAGGCAUCACCGUUCCUUGCCUGUCAAUAGGACAUCUGUAGAAGGACCUGUCGUUUCUCCUCAAAUUUCCCCCAGCAUCCGUAGGAGAGGACAUGUCAUUCCAGUUGCUGCACCGCCAAAGGAACCUUCCAGCCAUGUACCACCUGCAAAUCAUAAACACCACAAAGGUUCCUUUCCUGUCAUAAGCCCUGCUCCACAUAGAACUGGUAAUGCUUCUGCAACAAGCCAUGGACAUUCAGGUUUAGAUCAUGGUCCUGCCCCAGCACCGCUAGUCUUGCCUCCAUCAAAUGGAAAAGAUGGAAAUCCAGCGUAUGCUCCGCAUCACCCUCGUCAGUAUCAUUCACCUUCAUAUUCUCCAGAACCUGCUCUACCACCUGACAAUCCUGCAUUUAGAAAGCCCAGGGCUUUGGCACCAGCACCAAGUCAUUCCUUGCCGCCUCCACCUCCACCUCCAAAUUCAUACUGCACGGCGUUAAAUUGUAAAGAUCCUAUGACCAAUAGUCCUCCAGGAACAACAUGCCUCUGUGUGUUGCCAAUAAAAGUUGAGCUUCGAUUAGGUAUAGCACUGUACACAUUCUUUGCAUUGGUCUCAGAACUUGCACAAGAAAUUGCAUCUGGAGUGUUCAUGAAGCAAAGUCAAGUUCAUGUUAUGGGAGCAAAUGCUGCAACUGAAGACCCUGAGAAGACAAUUGUCCUCAUUGAUCUUGUGCCACUGGGAGCAAGCUUUGACAAUACAACAACACUUUCAGUAUUUGAAAGGUUUUGGCACAAACAGGUCAUCAUAAAUCCUACGGAUUUUGGAAACUAUGAUGUGUUAUAUGUUCAAUACCCAGGUCUUCCUUCGUCACCACCAUCAGCUCCUGGAAAUCUGAACAACAGUCUUAGCAAUGGAAAUGAUCAAAGGUUACACCCACUUGCUGCUGAUAUAGGAAACCACAGAGAAACAAAAAGCAGAGGAAUAAUUGUGAUUAUUGUCCUGUCAAGUGUCUUUGCUUUAAUUUUAUGUGCUGGAGCUGCAUUGGUGAUUUAUUUCAAGCUUAGAAACCGCCAUCAUUUAACCGAAGCAUCACUUAUACCAGAAAAGCCUGCAGAUUCUGCAAUAGCCGGGAGUAGGCUAGAAAGCAGACCUAUCUCGGCAUCACCGUCAUUAAGCUCAAGUAUAGUGGCAUAUAAAGGAUCAGCAAAAAUAUUUAGUUUGGUUGAAAUGGACAGAGCUACACAAAGAUUUGACGAGUCCAGGAUAAUUGGUGAGGGUGGUUUCGGACGUGUUUAUGAAGGUAUUCUUGAGGAUGGAGAACGGGUUGCUGUCAAAGUUCUUAAGAGGGAUGACCAGCAAGGAACCCGGGAAUUCUUGGCUGAGGUUGAGAUGCUUAGCCGAUUGCAUCACAGGAACUUGGUUAAGUUGAUAGGCAUAUGCUCGGAGGAGCAUAUGAGAUGUUUGGUAUAUGAGCUUGUUCCAAAUGGAAGUCUGGAAUUUCACCUGCACGGAUCAUAUAAGGACACUGCUCUGCUUGAUUGGGAUGCCAGGCUUAAAAUUGCACUUGGCGCGGCACGAGGUCUUGCUUAUUUGCAUGAAGAUUCAAGUCCUCGUGUUAUACACCGUGACUUCAAGUCAAGUAACAUUUUGUUGGAACAUGACUUCACCCCCAAGGUUUCAGACUUUGGCCUAGCAAGAACUGCUAUAGGCGAGGGGAACGAGCAUAUCUCAACUCGGGUUAUGGGAACUUUUGGGUAUGUUGCUCCUGAAUAUGCGAUGACUGGGCAUCUUCUAGUGAAGAGCGAUGUCUACAGCUAUGGUGUCGUCCUCCUCGAGCUUCUUACAGGCAGGAAACCUGUAGAUAUGUCAAGGCCCCCAGGGCAAGAAAACUUAGUGACGUGGGCCUGUCCUUUUCUGACAAAUAGAGAUGGUUUGGAAACACUCAUCGAUGCAUCACUUGGAAGUAGCAUCCCGUUAGACAGCAUCGCAAAAGUAGCAGCAAUUGCUUCCAUGUGUGUUCAGCCAGAGGUGGACCAGCGGCCCUUUAUGGGGGAAGUUGUUCAAGCCUUAAAGUUGGUGUGCAAAGAAGGCAGUGAGUUCAACGAGUCAACAAGUUUUAGCCAAGAUUUGCACAUCCAAGACGCUGAGAUUGUAAGCAGAGCAAGUCUGGAUAUGGAUGCAGGCCCAGUGCUGUCUACGGAGCAGUUCACUGCAUCGGCGCGUUAUGAUACACUGGAUGCAUCUGGUUCUUUUCGGCGGUAUUCAAGUUCAGGUCCUCUGAAGGUCGGUCGAACUGAACACAACAGGGAGCGAGGCUUAUCAACAGGUAGCUCAAGUGAACACUGUGGUCUACAACGAUUUAGGAUGGAUUCAGAGUAG
rnacentral:rRNA from 1 species